ensembl:lncRNA
GGUUACAGAAACACAGUUCAGAAGGAGAAAGCUAGUCAGAAUGAUCAAAAGCAGGAGGGCCUAAUACCAGUGGACACCUCGGUAAAACAAUUGUAAAAUUUGAGCCACUGCCCGGAGCGGAGAGAUAUCUGAGGAUCUCCAUUUAUGCACCAAGCUGGAAUCUGGAAUGUGCUUUGCUUCUCUCAUGGCCUGAACUAAAUACGCUGAAACAGAUGAAGAGGGUUCCUGGGGUCCCAAAUGAAGGCAAAGCUCCUUCAGCUAUCGUGCUGCCUCAAGGCAGCCUCCGGGCUGAGGUCUGUGUGCUGAAACCCUGGACCACUAUCCACAAUCCUGAAAGUGCUGAGGAUACAGGGCUGACCUCAGCAGACAGGGGAGGUGCCUGGGCCCUCCUCUGGCCAGCCCAGGAAAAUCCCGAGGGACUUGACCACUUUGCCGGAUGCCCUUGACCGCCUCUGGAGCUCCCACAGACCCCACCAGAGGAGGUGGCUCUGUCCUGGAGCCUGUACGUCAAUAUGGCUGCUGGAAGGAGUGAAAGGACCACUUGCUCCUUCUCUAAAAGCCCACCAUCAAGGCCACCACUGACCACAGAGGGCAUCUGGGUGAGGCUUGAAUCAGCCUGUCACCCGGGUAACUGGAGGGUCUCAUGCCUAGACGAUCAUCAGGUAGGGUGUCUGAGGAACUUCCUGGUGGACUUAGAAAAACAGGUCUGGGGGAUUGGGGUAGAGGGGGGACUUUGAUCUCAGAGGUGGUCAACACAGCACCUUGAGGAGGCUAUGUAUUCCUUCAUUCUGCAUUUUUUUCUUGAAUAU